AAUUAGGCAUCUUUCUCCUCAGGGGGAACUAUAAUGCCUCUAAAGAAGAAGCAGUGUUUGUAUGUACACCAUUCACACCGUGGGAGGCUGGUCUUCAGUGGAUUUUGUCUUGGCACCUGAAGCAGGCUGCACUUGGAAGCUCACGUCUGUAAUCCCAGCAAUUUGGGAGGCUGAAGAAGAAGGAUUACUUGAGCCCAGGAGGUUGAGGCUGCAGUGACCCAUGAUGGUGACACUACACUUUAGCCUGAGUGACCGAGCAAGACCCAGUCUCAAAAAGAAACAAAAAUACAUAUGAUAGACUUAAAUAAUAAAAU
rnacentral:lncRNA from 1 species